UACGUAGGGUGCAAGCGUUAAUCGGAAUUACUGGGCGUAAAGCGUGCGCAGGCGGUUUUGUAAGUCUGAUGUGAAAUCCCCGGGCUCAACCUGGGAAUUGCAUUGGAGACUGCAAGGCUAGAAUCUGGCAGAGGGGGGUAGAAUUCCACGUGUAGCAGUGAAAUGCGUAGAGAUGUGGAGGAACACCGAUGGCGAAGGCAGCCCCCUGGGUCAAGAUUGACGCUCAUGCACGAAAGCGUGGGGAGCAAACGGG
rnacentral:rRNA from 1 species